AGUGAACGCUGGCGGUAGGCCUAACACAUGCAAGUCGAACGGCAGCACAGAGGAGCUUGCUCCUUGGGUGGCGAGUGGCGGACGGGUGAGGAAUACAUCGGAAUCUACUCUGUCGUGGGGGAUAACGUAGGGAAACUUACGCUAAUACCGCAUACGACCUACGGGUGAAAGCAGGGGAUCUUCGGACCUUGCGCGAUUGAAUGAGCCGAUGUCGGAUUAGCUAGUUGGCGGGGUAAAGGCCCACCAAGGCGACGAUCCGUAGCUGGUCUGAGAGGAUGAUCAGCCACACUGGAACUGAGACACGGUCCAGACUCCUACGGGAGGCAGCAGUGGGGAAUAUUGGUCAAUGGGCGCAAGCCUGAUCCAGCCAUACCGCGUGGGUGAAGAAGGCCUUCGGGUUGUAAAGCCCUUUUGUUGGGAAAGAAAUCCAGCUGGCUAAUACCCGGUUGGGAUGACGGUACCCAAAGAAUAAGCACCGGCUAACUUCGUGCCAGCAGCCGCGGUAA
rnacentral:rRNA from 1 species